rnacentral:lncRNA from 1 species
CAUAUCAUGUGCAGAAUGGAUAUCAUGUAGUUGCCAGAUACUCACUCCAACAUAAAUUUCCACAAGCUCAGACUCAUGGAAUCACAAAAACAGAAAUAGGUCCACAACUUAAACAAAAAUAGCAGAAUUUUGGAACAGAACCACACUCAAUGAACUCAUCUCAACUUGACAAAGCAGAACACUAGCAGAAAAAAUCAAGUGAGUAAUACUACCCAGCAUACCAGGUACGAAAUUCGAUGUGAAAGCUCAAAAUUCUCUUUCUACUAGAUUAAGCAUACUGCGACAUUGCCACAACAAGAUUUCCUAAAGGGUACAGACACUGAU